rnacentral:rRNA from 1 species
CGGUCCAGACUCCUACGGGAGGCAGCAGUGAGGAAUAUUGGUCAAUGGACGAGAGUCUGAACCAGCCAAGUCGCGUGAAGGAAGACGGCCCUACGGGUUGUAAACUUCUUUUGUAAGGGAAUAAAAAGUCUUACGGGAUAAGACGUUGCAGGUACCUUACGAAUAAGGAUCGGCUAACUCCGUGCCAGCAGCCGCGGUAC